ACAAAUUUCAUCCAGGAAAUUUAGUCCUAGGGACUUUGAUAUACAAUGAUACACCAAAGCAAGCAAAGAAGCCAAAAGAAGUUAAAUGUUUUUACCUGCUGCUGGCAUCCGAUGAGCAGUUGCAGGUGUCAACCAUAGUAUUGUUAUAUGAAGUGAGAGUUGCAUGUGCUUAUCUGAAGCUUAUACUAAUAAUGUGCCUCCCUAAUUGUGGCUGAUCUGGAGCUCAUACCCAUGUUGGGAAUUUGCAGCAGGUCUGAUCCCUUGCGCGUGCUCCUCCGCUUGCCCUCUCGACCCUCCCCUUGCUCAUCGCCAUCCAUUUUAUUCAGAGUGUAGAUGGCGGGCAAAACACCUAAGCUCCAGGAAUGAGCUUAAAAAACACAUGAGCUACUGUGACUAGGUGGCCACUUGAUUAGAGCAAGGAUGAAAAGCACUCCAUACACACUCACAAGGAUGAUGAUCCAUCUGUUUCUAGGAUGGUGGGACUUGAGGUCAAACUGCACAGGUAUGCACCAGAUUCAAGGAUCAGCUACUUGAUGAAAUAUACAGGAGACUCUCCUACUCAACAUUACCUUAAAAAAGAAUCAAGGAUCAGUUCAAUGGGAAUUGGAAUGAUGAAAACACUUGUUUGAGCACAUCUGAUCCUCAUAAUAGCAUAUUUUUAAUAAAUCACUGUAGUCAAAUCACUUUUUUUUAUAAUUUCUAUAGUAAAAUCACUUACUAUUGUGUAUAAGUGCCAUUAAGGAUAAUCCUAGAUCUGCGGGAUAGUUUGGAAGUUAUACCCAAGGCAUUAUAAUUGCUCUAUAUUAUUAUUAAUUUCGUAUAUCAUCACCUUAGACUACUCGAACUGUCGGCCAUGCUUUGUGAUUAAACAAUUCUUGACUGAUUAAAUCCAUUUCAAGUGUAAUGCAAGUGUUGAAUUGUGAUCCAUGAACAGCAAGCCCAUUUGGGGAAUGUAUUUGAACAAUGACCCAAGCAGUCGCACAAGUGGAUCUGCACAUAUUAUUAUCAAGAAGCUUGACAAGAAAACUGAAAACAAAUAAUUAGAGAAGAUUAACCGGGCGGGAGGAGAGGGAAGAAGGGAUAAAGAGAAAAGAAAUACAUAGUAAAGUUAUAUUGAUUAAAGAGUUCUAGCAAUGCAUCUGCUUCUAACUAUAUAUAAAGAUCUUGCAUGUGAUUAACCGGGCGGGAGGAGAUGGAAGAAGGGCUUGGCCACUUGGAUCGUGAGAUGACUAUUCGGUUGACCAUUUGUGCUAUCUAUUCAAUGUCAUGCAUCAUAGAAACAAAGAUUAGUUUUGUUGUUGUGGAUUUUGCAGGAAAACAGAGUAGGUCACGGUGGAUGAAGAGAACAUUAACCGACAGACUUUUCGGUAAAAAAAUUGGCUGCCUUGAUUAGUUUAUUUCUUAUCAAUUAAAUUUGUAUGUGAAGUACAAAAAGUUGAUAAUUGGGACAGAAUUAUGACUUUUACUAUGUACCAUUUUCAUAUAUUCCUCAACAACACGUCUAGAUUCAUGUAGAUAAUAAUUUGAACACGUCUAGCAAUUUACAUGUCUUCUGGGCAAGCUAAGCUAUUUUCUUGAUGAUCCAAGCAGGUUGCUGAUCAAAUAUAAAAUAUGUAAUUUUCUGGUUCAGUAAUAAACGGGCAAUUCAACUUAUGGCUGGGGCAGCCUGAUUUCCUCCUACACACGCCCGCUAGCAGCAGCAGUUACGACCAGGCGGUUGCGGAAGGUGAUAGGUGUGGUGGUCGGCGGUGCCUGGGCUAUUGAUGUUCGAUUUGAGAGGAAGAAGAGAGAUUGGCUGCUGAUUUUGGGAGGAAGAAGAGAGAUUGAGCGUGCUGUUGCUGCCGUGUGUGGUCUUGGGAGAGGAAUAAAAGAGAGUAGUAGAGAGCUUUAGAGAGAUAGCAAAGGAUUGAGAGGCUACUCCUAUUUGUAUUGCUGUCGAUGCUUGCACAAUGCCACUGCUUAUUAUACUGUGUUAUUCAUCUUUGAAAAAAACAAUCAUUUUCUCCCUUCAAUAGUUUAGUCAUGACUUAGGUUUACUUACUAGCCUCUCUUCAUAAUUAUUUUUGGAUUAAAUUUAGCUUUUUAAAAAGUUGCAAAGAAUAGGACUAUUUCAUGCAUCCCGGCAGAUAUGGUUGCUAUCCACCUGGAAAGGAAUAAGAUAGCAUCCAUGUUGUCGUCCCUUGUUGUUAGUUUGCAUUCCUAUUUACUUUGUGUGCCAUUCCUUAAUGCAUGAAUCAGUUGCAGUGUGGAUGGGAUUGACUUGUUAUUUUGUUCAGUUUGUAAAAGGGUUGCUCUGUGCAAAUUCUUAACACAGUCAUCAUAAUUGCAUUUAUAGCAACUACCUAUUAUUGAAAUGAUAGAUGGCUCCAAGAUUAUGGUUGUACUAUGCUAAAUUGCUAAUUGCUAUUACUAGGAAUAAAUACUCAUGUAUCUCUAAAAAGACUACUAAUGUACUCCCUCCGUAAACAAAAUGAAAUUUAUUUAUGAACCGAUUGUAAUAUUACCUCGGGUGAAGAAUAACUUAUACUCCACCUUGGGUGAUGAAUAGUAUUACCAUGUAUAUAUAGUGUGUGUUGUGUGUUGUGUGUGUGUGCUUCAGACAUGUCGUUUAAUUAUCUAUUUGGUUUAUUCACUAAUAUCUGAUUGAAUCAGGCAUGUGCGCGCGAGGAGGGAAGAGGAGAGAACCAUUGACAUUUUUCAUGCCCUGGACGAACAUUUUUAUGCAUAGCUUUCUUUUCCAUGAGAACACAUGAGUGUGGAGCUGUCGUUGUAGAGCCUGGGAUGAAGGGUGGGUCCAUUAUAGAACCAGGAGGUACUAGCACUAAGAUGGGAAGGUGGUUGCCGCCCUUAUCCCUUGCUGCUGGCCGGCCACGGCGAUGUUGAUCACCGGCUCACUUAACAUACAAGUUGAUGGAUUUUGUGAUAAGAGUGAGCGGGACGGAGGUUGGGUUUGGUAUGUUUACUUACAAAUUUGCAUUCUUGGCUUUGGGGGCGCCACAGGCGGCGCAAUACCUCCUCCCUCUUGAUGGCAGUGGUGAAAACACACGGACACGGGGGAGGGGAUCAUGGCGGAGAGCGGGGCAGGCAUUACAGGGGACUCCUCCUUAACGGUCUAUGAGGAAGUAUGGUGUGAAGGAGAGAGGGUGUCAUGGUGAAAGUGAGGCGGACGUCACCCACUACGGCGGGAAACAGAACGGAAAGGGGAGGGUCCGACGAGAAAAGGAGAGGGUGUGUCGUGGUGGUGGGGUUUUGCGUUGGUGUCACAUGUUGGAGAUAACAUCACCAAUAGUCUGGAUAGCAACAUUUCUUUCUUACGUAUGGGCCGGAUUUGGGGCACCCGGACUAUCAAGACGGUUAUAGUAGCC